ensembl:snRNA U6 U6 spliceosomal RNA
GUGCUCACUUUGGCAGCACAUAUACUAAAACUGUUACAAUACAGAGAUUAGCAUGGCCCCUGCGCAAGGAUGACACGCAAAUUCAUGAAGUGUUCCAUAUUCUA